GUGUGCAGUGUGUUUAGCAGAGGGUAAAGAGAUCAGGCCAGGUAGAGGAGAAGCAGCUGAGAGGUACCUGGGAGUCCCCACAGGAUUGAUGACUUCUGGAAGAUGCACACCAAUGUUUUUCCGAUGGUGACGUCGGUGCUCAAAGACCCCACCUGUUUCCCAUACCCAGAUGAGUUUAAUCCACAGAAUUUCCUUGGUGAAAAUGGUGAAUUUAAAAAGAACGAUGCCUUUAUUCCUCUGGCAUCAGGGCUGCGAGUCUUGAAACCCAACGGAGGUGAAUAUGCAAAAAGCAAGAACCCCUCUCCCUCCCCUUACGUCAAGGCAAUCGGUGGAUCAUGUGAUAUCAGUCUGACGCCCACUUUUCAAAGUUCAGCCGUUCGGCAUUACCUGCUGAUCGAUCUUGCUAAACGGCCUCACAGCUAACGGCCUUCACAGCCACAUUCCACUACGGUUUGGAUAAACGCCGGUCGCUUCAGCCGGCGGCUCUCGGCAAGAGCACUGACAUCCAUCUACGUGCCGUGCUGCAGACGUCCGGUUCUCCGCUCACCCGUACCGAGUGACUGCUACUGGCCUCCGCAGUGAGGUCUAACACCCGGUUUGAGGAGGUGGGUCCUUUGGAGAUCUUCACACAGGUUAUUAAGAACUACUUUCUAUCCGGAGCAUAGCCGCGAUAAAUAUACGGCUUUUUCCAAACCAGCUAUAAUCAGCUCAAUUAACUGUAUACCCAUAUAUGUGCACAGACAUCCUAACGGACCCUGUUUAUUCAUACUCUCAGGAACCUGCACAUGGGUAAUUAUACAUCAAUAUACACACAAGUUCAUCAUUAAUAAGGCUGUGAUUAUUUUUACGAGACAUUUAUUAAACACUGGGACGCCAGUGUAUUUCUAUUUUUAUCUAGCAUUAUAACAAAGAUAUUUCAUCUCAUUGUAUGCUAUACUAAUUGUGAUUAUAAAUCAAUUGUUGCUUAAUACAUGCUGCUUAUCUUGUU